GAUGAACGCUAGCGGCAGGCUUAAUACAUGCAAGUCGUGGGGCAGCAUGAGUGUAGCAAUACAUUUGAUGGCGACCGGCAAACGGGUGCGGAACACGUACAGAACCCUCCUUCAAGCGGGGCAUAGCCCAGAGAAAUUUGGAUUAAUACCCCAUAAUAUAAUGAAGAGGCAUCUCUUUGUUAUUAAAGAUUUAUCACUUGAAGAUGGCUGUGCGGCUGAUUAGGUAGUUGGCGGGGUAACGGCCCACCAAGCCUGCGAUCAGUAACUGGUGUGAGGGCACGACCAGUCACACGGGAACUGAGACACGGGCCCGACUCCUACGGGAGGCAGCAGUAAGGAAUAUUGGUCAAUGGACGCAAGUCUGAACCAGCCAUGCCGCGUGGAGGAUGAAGGUCCUCUGGAUUGUAAACUUCUUUUAUAUGGGACGAAAAAAGGCUUUUCUAGGUCGUCUGACGGUACCAUAUGAAUAAGCACCGGCUAACUCCGUGCCAGCAGCCGCGGUAAUAC
rnacentral:rRNA from 1 species